rnacentral:rRNA from 1 species
UACAGAGGUCUCGAGCGUUAGGCGGAAUCACUGGGCUUAAAGGGCGCGUAGGCGGGUCAGCAAGUCCGGGGUGAAAUCUUUCGGCUCAACCGGAAAAGUGCCUCGGAUACUGCUGGUCUUGAGGGAGGUAGGGGUUUGUGGAACUUCUGGUGGAGCGGUGAAAUGCGUUGAUAUCAGAAGGAACGCCGGUGGCGAAAGCGACGAACUGGACCUCUUCUGACGCUGAGGCGCGAAAGCUAGGGGAGCAAACGGG